rnacentral:rRNA from 1 species
GAGCGGUAACAUUUCUAGCUUGCUAGAAGAUGACGAGCGGCGGACGGGUGAGUAAUACUUAGGAAUCUACCUAGUAGUGGGGGAUAGCUCGGGGAAACUCGAAUUAAUACCGCAUACGACCUACGGGAGAAAGGGGGCAACUUGUUGCUCUCGCUAUUAGAUGAGCCUAAGUCGGAUUAGCUAGAUGGUGGGGUAAAGGCCUACCAUGGCGACGAUCUGUAGCUGGUCUGAGAGGAUGAUCAGCCACACCGGGACUGAGACACGGCCCGGACUCCUACGGGAGGCAGCAGUGGGGAAUAUUGGACAAUGGGGGAAACCCUGAUCCAGCCAUGCCGCGUGUGUGAAGAAGGCCUUUUGGUUGUAAAGCACUUUAAGCAGUGAAGAAGACUCUUCGGUUAAUACCCGGAGACGAUGACAUUAGCUGCAGAAUAAGCACCGGCUAACUCUGUGCCAGCAGCCGCGGUAAUACAGAGGGUGCAAGCGUUAAUCGGAAUUACUGGGCGUAAAGCGAGCGUAGGUGGCUUGAUAAGUCAGAUGUGAAAUCCCCGGGCUUAACCUGGGAACUGCAUCUGAUACUGUCAGGCUAGAGUAGGUGAGAGGAAGGUAGAAUUCCAGGUGUAGCGGUGAAAUGCGUAGAGAUCUGGAGGAAUACCGAUGGCGAAGGCAGCCUUCUGGCAUCAUACUGACACUGAGGCUCGAAAGCGUGGGUAGCAAACAGGAUUAGAUACCCUGGUAGUCCACGCCGUAAACGAUGUCUACUAGUCGUUGGGUCCCUUGAGGACUUAGUGACGCAGCUAACGCAAUAAGUAGACCGCCUGGGGAGUACGG